rnacentral:rRNA from 1 species
GUGGAGCAAUCCAUGAGUACAGUGGCGUACGGGUGAGUAACACGUGGGGAUCUACCUCCUGGUGGGGGAUAACUCUGGGAAACCGGAGCUAAUACCGCAUGAGCAGGGAACUGGAAAGCCGCAAGGCGCCGGGAGAGGAGCCCGCGGCCGAUUAGCUAGUUGGUGAGGUAACGGCUCACCAAGGCAAAGAUCGGUAGCCGGCCUGAGAGGGCACACGGCCACACUGGCACUGAAACACGGGCCAGACUCCUACGGGAGGCAGCAGUGGGGAAUCUUGCACAAUGGGGGCAACCCUGAUGCAGCGACGCCGCGUGAGCGAUGAAGCCCUUCGGGGUGUAAAGCUCUUUCGGCCGGAACGAUAAUGACGGUACCGGAGGAAGAAGCUGCGGCUAACUACGUGCCAGCAGCCGCGGUAAUACGUAGGCAGCAAGCGUUGUUCGGAGUUACUGGGCGUAAAGAGUGCGUAGGCGGUGACCUAAGUUCGGUGUGAAAUCUCCCGGCUUAACUGGGAGGGUGCGCCGAAAACUGGGAUGCUGGAGUGUGGGAAAGGCAAGCGGAAUUCCUGGUGUAGCGGUGAAAUGCGUAGAUAUCAGGAGGAACACCGGCGGUGUAGACGGCUUGCUAGACCAUAACUGACGCUGAGGCACGAAAGCGUGGGUAGCAA